rnacentral:sRNA from 1 species
GAGAAGGCUUGUGCCAGCCGGGAGAAGGAAGCCGGGGACAGGAUGAAAGCAACAACACCUUUGCAGACAGUCGACCGGCCGAAGGACUGGUACAAGACGAUGUUUAAGCAAAUUCACAUGGUGCACAAGCCGGGUCUGUACAACCCACCCUACAGUGCUCAGUCACACCCUGCUGCAAAGACCCAAACCUACAGACCUCUUUCCAAAAGCCACUCCGACAACAGCACCAAUGCCUUUAAGGAUGCGUCCUCCCCAGUGCCUCCCCUACAUGUUCCACCUCCAGUCCCACCGCUUCGACCAAGAGAUCGGUCUUCAACAGAAAAGCAUGACUGGGACCCUCCAGACAGAAAAGUGGACACAAGAAAAUUUCGGUCUGAGCCAAGGAGUAUUUUUGAAUAUGAACCUGGCAAGUCAUCAAUUCUGCAGCAUGAAAGACCAGUAAGCACUUGUCAUUAAACAAAAUAUGCCAGCUCGCUGGGCUCCCAGGGUUCCCCAAUCAACCUGAAUUCCAGAUCCAUUAGCAAUUUUUGUCCCAAAGGUAAUCACUUAGAAAUCAUGAUUAUUUUAUAUCAUGAUUUGUACAUCUCAUCUCGGAAUUGAAAGAUAUAUGUUCUAAUAUAUUGUCUUUACUGACCAAAUAUGAGUGUAGGGGUGUGUGUGUG